GAAACUAGUCAGCAAACCUAAUUCCUAAAAAAAUCUGAAAGCAACAAGAAUCUUGGAUAGACACUACUGAGGAUAUACUCCAGCUUCUAAAUUAACUCAGUCAAUAGGAUAUAAUCGUAAGCUGAUUCAACAUAGGAACCCUACUCUUUAUAGACUCUAUUAAAUGUAUUAGCUCUUAUAAAUACCUCCCUCCAUCAGUCAUUUGUACUCUCACUAGACUCAUAAUACUAGCCUCUAAGAUAUUAUUCUCAUCCUUGUAUGUUGAAAUUAACUUAAACAUUUGAUGGUCUGUUCGAGGAAAGCACCCUCAGGAGACCUUUUAGGUGUUUUGUUAACUUACUUAAGUGUAGUUGGUUCAACUCAAAGAUCUCCAAAGUGGUUCAGUCAGUUAUACAAUUUUUAGCUGUCAAAUUGAUGUCAAUUAUACCUCUUUUCGAGAUGCCUCUGAACAAAGCUACUAGUAAGAGCUCCAUCAAAGCUAUCGAUGUCCCUACAAAGGGGCUUGGUGAUCCGAAAGUUACUAAUCCUAUUCUUCAAACCACCGCUCAUGGUUUUUUGGCACUAAUAGAGGUCAAAGAUAAGCCUUUAUCCCAAUAACCCAAGAUAAUGAAGGUAAAGAAUAACCUAGCUAGAACCUUAGUCACUCCAAGUUCUCUCGAUAAGCCAAAGCUUAGCGCAAGAUCAGACACCUACGCAAGUACUCUCGAUAAGCUACUGCUCGGCUCAGCUUAAUACAAUAUCUUAGUCGGAAGAGACAUCCUUACUCCAACAUGAUGGCUCGAAUCAUCCACAUCAUCACUCAGAACAUCUAUCAGCGUCGACUAAACCUAAGCUUAGCAAACCAAGCCUUGACUCCUUUAUAACCCUACCUAGUGGUAAUACUGGUAAUAGCAAUUCCUACCUAGUGGUAAUUUCUUACUAAAAACUAGUCAUUUGUUUUGUUUUUUUUGAAUGAUAUGUUUUUGAUUUUUGUCCUUUAUAAGCUUUGGUAACUAAGAUAAGAAUAUCAUUGUUAUUCAUUUUUGUUUACUUUUCUUAGCUAGAGUUUCUUUGCCAAUUGAGUUACAGAAAUAGUGUGAUAAAAUUGAUGAUAAAUUCUUUUAAAUCAUAGAAGAUAGUAGAUUUCAUGUUCUACUUGACUCUUCUAAUGGAUUGCUUGUUCCGCUGCAAUUAAACUUGAUGUUUAUUAUAUUUUAUCAGUUUAACACUGUUGAAGGCUAACGAUAAAUUAUUCUGCAUUAUCUUAGUCAUAAUAUUUUUUAUUGGGCUAGUUGAGCUCACCCUUUGCUUUCAUUGUUCUCUUCAGGAAAUGAGAAUAUAGUUGGGACUAGUCGGGAAACGGAGUGACGGUCCAUAUGUUUGCAUUAGUAGUCCUCACUAUUCUGUGAAAUAGUGUGAUAAUAAAUGUAUUGAGGACUUAUUUUGAGUUUGAAUAUUGUCUGAAAGACAAUAUUUGUAUUAAAACUCACAGCUCAUGUUGUAAAUUUAAGUUUGUAUUUGUAUUCUGUACCAUGUAUUUGACGACUCAAAAUGGGUGAUGUAUACCUAUUUUGGGGGUGUCACAGUCGUCGCUCCUAUUCUGAUAUCAUCUCUCAAUUAGUUUGUAUAAUAAAAUAAAAUUAGGUCUAACUGUUUAUUAAUUAAGAG
rnacentral:lncRNA from 1 species